rnacentral:rRNA from 1 species
CUACGGGUGGCAGCAGUGGGGAAUAUUGCACAAUGGAGGAAACUCUGAUGCAGCAACGCCGCGUGGAGGAUGACACUUUUCGGAGCGUAAACUCCUUUUAUAUAGGAAGAUAAUGACGGUACUAUAUGAAUAAGCACCGGCUAACUCCGUGCCAGCAGCCGCGGUAAUACGGAGGGUGCAAGCGUUACUCGGAAUCACUGGGCGUAAAGAGCGUGUAGGCGGGUUAAUAAGUCAGAAGUGAAAUCCUAUGGCUCAACCAUAGAACUGCUUUUGAAACUGUUAACCUAGAGUGUGGGAGAGGUAGAUGGAAUUUCUGGUGUAGGGGUAAAAUCCGUAGGGAUCAGAAGGAAUACCGAUUGCGAAGGCGAUCUACUGGAACAUAACUGACGCUGAGACGCGAAAGCGUGGGGAGCAAACAGGAUUAGAUACCCCUGUAGUC